AGGGAAUGGGAAGCAUGGGUGGGUGUGCAGGGCGGGUGGCCUCCUCCGAGCUGGUUCUAACAGGCGCAGUCAGGGCAGAGAGGCUGGCUGGAAGUCCCCGCAUCCAGACUCCAGGGGUCCUUUCAAGGCUGCUGAGUUUCCCAGGGAGUUGCCAGUGAAAGCAUCAGAGCUGGCCUUGAGCACAUGAAGUAAAGGAAGCAAACUGGGAGGGCAGAGUACGGUGGUGACCGGAACGCAGAACGUGGCGUCCACGUAAGAACGUCAGACACUUCUCACCACAGAAUAAUCAAGGUGAAUCAUGGGACCCGAGACAAUGCCGCACAGUGGGGCAGAAACACUCAGGCUACAGGGCAAGAAGAUAUUUUCAUAGGAAAUUAAUUUUUCAAACAGACAGAAAACAAAUUUCCCUUUAAAGAAACGUUAUGGAAGACUAGAAGAAACAGAUUUACAGGACCCUGGCCUGUAAGGAUGCACACAGUGGGUAAUAAUGUUAUUUAGGCGAAAUGGCAACUCUUAACGUCAUGUAAAUCAGAAUUAUGUGUAAAUUAGGAUUAACAUGAG
rnacentral:lncRNA from 1 species